rnacentral:sRNA from 1 species
UUAGAGGAAGUAAAAGUCGUAACAAGGUUUCCGUAGGUGAACCUGCGGAAGGAUCAUUACCGAGUGAGGGCCCUCUGGGUCCAACCUCCCACCCGUGUUUAUUUUACCUUGUUGCUUCGGCGGGCCCGCCUUAACUGGCCGCCGGGGGGCUUACGCCCCCGGGCCCGCGCCCGCCGAAGACACCCUCGAACUCUGUCUGAAGAUUGUAGUCUGAGUGAAAAUAUAAAUUAUUUAAAACUUUCAACAACGGAUCUCUUGGUUCCGGCAUCGAUGAAGAACGCAGCGAAAUGCGAUACGUAAUGUGAAUUGCAAAUUCAGUGAAUCAUCGAGUCUUUGAACGCACAUUGCGCCCCCUGGUAUUCCGGGGGGCAUGCCUGUCCGAGCGUCAUUGCUGCCCUCAAGCACGGCUUGUGUGUUGGGCCCCGUCCUCCGAUCCCGGGGGACGGGCCCGAAAGGCAGCGGCGGCACCGCGUCCGGUCCUCGAGCGUAUGGGGCUUUGUCACCCGCUCUGUAGGCCCGGCCGGCGCUUGCCGAUCAACCCAAAUUUUUAUCCAGGUGACCUCGGAU